rnacentral:rRNA from 1 species
GACGAACGCUGGCGGCGUGCUUAACACAUGCAAGUCGAACGGAAAGGCCCUGCUUUUGUGGGGUGCUCGAGUGGCGAACGGGUGAGUAACACGUGAGUAACCCGCCCUUGACUUUGGGAUAACUUCAGGAAACUGGGGCUAAUACCGGAUAGGAGCUCCUGCUGCAUGGUGGGGGUUGGAAAGUUUCGGCGGUUGGGGAUGGACUCGCGGCUUAUCAGCUUGUUGGUGGGGUAGUGGCUUACCAAGGCUUUGACGGGUAGCCGGCCUGAGAGGGUGACCGGCCACAUUGGGACUGAGAUACGGCCCAGACUCCUACGGGAGGCAGCAGUGGGGAAUAUUGCACAAUGGGCGGAAGCCUGAUGCAGCAACGCCGCGUGCGGGAUGACGGCCUUCGGGUUGUAAACCGCUUUCGCCUGUGACGAAGCGUGAGUGACGGUAAUGGGUAAAGAAGCACCGGCUAACUACGUGCCAGCAGCCGCGGUGAUACGUAGGGCGCGAGCGUUGUCCGGAUUUAUUGGGCGUAAAGGGCUCGUAGGUGGUUGAUCGCGUCGGAAGUGUAAUCUUGGGGCUUAACCCUGAGCGUGCUUUCGAUACGGGUUGACUUGAGGAAGGUAGGGGAGAAUGGAAUUCCUGGUGGAGCGGUGGAAUGCGCAGAUAUCAGGAGGAACACCAGUGGCGAAGGCGGUUCUCUGGGCCUUUCCUGACGCUGAGGAGCGAAAGCGUGGGGAGCGAACAGGCUUAGAUACCCUGGUAGUCCACGCUGUAAACGGUGGGUACUAGGUGUGGGGUCCAUUCCACGGGUUCCGUGCCGUAGCUAACGCUUUAAGUACCCCGCCUGGGGAGUACGGCCGCAAGGCUAAAACUCAAAGGAAUUGACGGGGCCCCGCACAAGCGGCGGAGCAUGCGGAUUAAUUCGAUGCAACGCGUAGAACCUUACCUGGGUUUGACAUGGAUCGGGAGUGCUCAGAGAUGGGUGUGCCUCUUUUGGGGUCGGUUCACAGGUGGUGCAUGGCUGUCGUCAGCUCGUGUCGUGAGAUGUUGGGUUAAGUCCCGCAACGAGCGCAACCCUUGUUCACUGUUGCCAGCACGUUAUGGUGGGGACUCAGUGGAGACCGCCGGGGUCAACUCGGAGGAAGGUGGGGAUGACGUCAAGUCAUCAUGCCCCUUAUGUCCAGGGCUUCACGCAUGCUACAAUGGCUGGUACAGAGAGUGGCGAGCCUGUGAGGGUGAGCGAAUCUCGGAAAGCCGGUCUCAGUUCGGAUUGGGGUCUGCAACUCGACCUCAUGAAGUCGGAGUCGCUAGUAAUCGCAGAUCAGCAACGCUGCGGUGAAUACGUUCCCGGG